AUGAUGGACGUCAUAUUUGAAUCGACCCUACGCUGUGUGGUAUUUGCGCGAUCGUUUGAACAACACGUGAGUUAUUUUUGUCCUUCACGAUCAUUGUAUGAAAGUUGAUAUAAACCGGCUGGUUUAAGAAUCUAAGGUUCGAAAUUUUAAUGUCUCAAACCGAAUGAACUGAUCCAUUUGACUUAUUUUCGCAAAUAUAUCGUAUGACCGGUACAUUUACAAGAUCCAGAUCUAUAUUCUUGAAUCGAAAUCAGUUACUGGUUGGAUCAAGGUCAAGAUCUUUUGGUUUGCUCUCAGCAUUGAACCAUGACAACAACGCAUGGGUGUUUGGCUCCGUGCCAUGAUCGAGUAUGAACUAAAUAACGAUCCUCGCGAUCAAGUGACAAUCAGCUGCUAAAUCUAUACAUUUACAACAGCCGACAAGAAUCUCCGUGUUUAAUUGUUAACAGUUUGUUAGUAAACUAUGUGGUUGAGAUUAGGUAUUUUUAUUUGGUUCCGCAAUGUGGCUUCCAAUACAAACACAAACGAGAUUAAAACGCGACAAUUUGAAGCGGUCAUGUGCUGCUCUGGUGGUACAUUGAUACUGGGGAAUUUAAUUCUGUAUUUGAAAAUCAUUAAAUGUUAAAAUAAGAAAACGUUUACGAAUUUACAUCUCUCUAUGUAUGUAGAGUUUACCACCAACAGACAACUUGCUUCCGGAUGCGAUCUGGGGAGUUCUAGCUUCAGUGGUUCCAUAGGUAUGGAAUCACAACAUUCUUCAAUAAUGAUGCAGUGCAUUGGCAUUCAGAAGGCCGGCUCCAGAGGAUACUCCAUUUGGGACAUUUGUGUAUUGGCCUUACUGUGGCUCAGAGCGUUCAUGAUUAACAAAAAUUUUAAUCAUGAUUAAUCAUUGAUGAUUAAAAUUUUUAUUUCAGUGAUUAUUGAUUAUGAUUAAUGAUUAAUUUUAUUUUGAGGAUUAUUAAAGAUUAUGAUUAAUGAUUAAAUUUGGUUUUAUCUGUGAUAAUUGAUUAUGAUUAAUGAUUAAAAAUGGCCCAUUGAUUAAAAAUCAUGAUUAAUCAUGAUAAAUCAAUCACAAAAACCGGAAGUGAUUAAUAUAUAGGUAUUUGUUGUUAAAAAUAUUUUUGAAGUUACAAAAGUAAAAGGUAACUCUGUUUGGGAGAUUUUUGAUAUAAGAAUCAUAAAUUAUAAUGUUUAGACCAGCAUUUAAACCAACUUCAAUUGAAUAAUAUAUUUUAUAUGAUGAAUCAUUUUUUGGUGAUGAAUGAUUAAUGAUUGAUUAACUUUUUUUCUUAUGAUUAUGAUUACUGAUUAAUGAUUAAAUUGCGAAAUCAGUGUGAUUAAGAUUAAUGAUUAAUGAUUAAAUGAGGAAUUUUUGUGAUUAUGAUUAAUGAUUUUUGAUUAAUCUUAAUCAUAAAUCAUUAAUCAUGAUUAAAUUUAUGAUUAAUCAUUAACGCUCUGUGUGGCUAUUGGUCCAGCACAUAUAUGAAAAGUACUGUAAAAGAUUUCAUUGCUAAAUGAUCAAUUUAAAAUUCAUAGGAAUUUGUAGAAAUUAUUUAAAUGUAAAAAAAAGAAAAAAAGACAAUUAAAUUACACCGUCUUCGACCUUGCGGCCACUUCAGACUGAACAUUACUAGGGUAAAAGGGUAUAAUACGCCCCACCGGGGCAAAACGCCCCCCUACAUUUUCUAGCGAUUCAAGCGCUUUUUACAUGCGGGAUCGAUUGGAAAUCUUAAAUAUUGAUGAUUAAUUAUUAUGCGUUGCGCGAAAAUUUUUGAGCGCAAGUGCUCGUAUACCUCCGCCAGUACGGUAAAUCGUGUUCGUGUUUUCGGCGCAGUAUUCUUUGGCCCAUUCGCGCACUUAUUGUAAAAGACACCAGAACGAUUAAACGUACGAGCGGAGGUCUAUUAGCGAUUUUGUACCAUUUUCGCUCUCUAUUUUCUUGCAACGGAUAAUACCAUCAAGCUGAUCCGUUAGUUGAUUGGUAUAGAAAAGCAAUAAAAAUAUCGAAAAGUCUGAAAUCGAGGCUUUUGGCGUAAUAUUUUACCUCUUGCAAGCUGGCUUCAUUGUAAACGAAGCCAGUUCUGUUCGCUUAUGUUAUUUUGCAACUUUUAUGCAGUUAAACAUUUGUUGAAAGGCCCUCCUAGGAUAAGCAUGUGGUAGAAUUAUCCCCUGGUACAGUUUUAUCACGGGGCUGGACGUUUUUCUUCUGAUGGGGCGUAUUGCCCCGUUUGUUUUGAUAAGGUAAAUUUUGGAACGUUUUCGGAAAACGUUUCAAAGCUUCCAUAGCCGUCCCUCCAGAGGUAAAGUUCUCAUGCAACACUUCACUGACUUUAGAAACAACGAUUUGCAGUGAACAAUAGAUGGAAUAAGGCGCCAAUUUUAGAUAUAUUGCCAUUUCUGCUUAGGGGGGGCAUAUUAUACCUGUUUACCCUAACAUUCGACAACUGACAACACAUAGAACACCCAGUGGCCCAAUGGAGAAUUUUCUAUUUGACGAAAAGUUUUCCCCGACUGGAGCGGGAACCGAACCCAUACUCCGAGGCUCACGAGACACCCGAAAGGCUGACGCCGCUAACCGCUCAGCCACGAAGGAUUCUGAGAUUUAUGAGGACUAAUUUUUAGCAUUUCUGUUCCAACUUCUGUUGUAACGCUUAGUCACUUUUUUGAAUUGGACAUAGUUUUUCAAGAUUUUAGGUGUAAAUUAAAAGUAAUUAUUUUCAUUGAAUAUUUAAAAAAAAGGUUAACAUCGUUGAAUUUGAAAUGCACGGCUAAAUUAGGAUAAAAGCUCUUCUUUGUACUAAAACAUUUAAGUCACUUUAUUAUACAACUUUCUAUAAAAGCUCAUUGAAAUAGGAUAAAAGCUUUUAAAGUUAUUUGUACUAAAAAGUUAAGGUGAAACAUAGAUGGCCCAAAGGAGUCGAAAAUAUGAACUGUGGUUGACUCGUCUAAAUUUUUAGUUUUGUAUUAGUAAAUGUCAAAUUACAUGAUCAGUAAAAUUUUACGUUCGAUCAAGUUUCGUAGAAUAGAUUCACCCAUUACCAAAUCUGAUCGGCAAGUGAGCAGACAGUUAGUUUCGGUGAUAGUGCUUUCAAUUUUUUCAAUCUAAGUUAUUAAAAAUAGUUCCGGAUUUAUUUUAUCACUGGGAACGGAAACUCUGCUCAUCUGUGCAGUUCUAAAUCUGUACAAAAGCGUCCAACGGACGCUUUUUUGUACGGGCUUCAAGCCCGCAGCUACACACUCCGCCAUUUUGAACAUCCACACGACCACGUGGGACAUUUCCGAGGACGCUCGCUCAUCCAGGCCCGCCACAGAGCUGGCAGUCAAACGGGUGGAGAGGAUUGUCUGGCCUGCCCGCAUUCUGAGAGGAGUGAUCGGGUAGCGUACUUGGACCUGCCGAAACCCUUCCCCGCACCUUUAUUCCGGCCAUCAGUGAUUCGAGCUUCUUUUCCGAGCCGUCCCUCGAAGGAACGGGAUCCCGCCGGCCCCGGCGGCAAACCCUUGCUCCGCCGCUGCGCUCGCCAAGAACAUCGCACUCCGUCCGUGCACCCCUCGUCAGCUGACAGCAUAAGUUAAACCCUGCGCAGGUAUGUCCUCAUAAUCAUGGCCAUGAACACACUACACAACACACACUCACACACUCUCACACUGGAUGCUUAAAACGAAAAAAUGAAUUAAUACAUAAAAAUGAAUUCAAACUCAACA